CUUGCUUUCUUUGCUGGCGACCGGCGCACGGGUGAGUAACACGUAUCCAACCUACCCUUUACUCGGGGAUAGCCUUUCGAAAGAAAGAUUAAUACCCGAUAGCAUAAUGAUUCCGCAUGGUUUCAUUAUUAAAGGAUUCCGGUAAAGGAUGGGGAUGCGUUCCAUUAGGUUGUUGGUGAGGUAACGGCUCACCAAGCCUUCGAUGGAUAGGGGUUCUGAGAGGAGGGUCCCCCACAUUGGAACUGAGACACGGUCCAAACUCCUACGGGAGGCAGCAUG
rnacentral:rRNA from 1 species